rnacentral:misc_RNA from 1 species
GGCUUUGAUGCCACCACCGCCAAGGGCGACGGUGUAGAGGGCGACAGUGAGGAGCACCAGCUGGCCGCCGGUGGCGGCGGUGCAUUGGUGCUGCUGCUGGCGGAAGUCUGUGCAUGGCGGGGGUUUCAUGCUGGUCACUGAGGUGGCUAUUGUUAGCAAGCUCACUCCCGUGGCCAUGAUUGUGGAGAAGAGGGCGACGGUCAUGUACCGCCCGAGCUUCGCAUCCGCUAGAAAUCCCCCCAAGAGGGCCAGCAA